CCAAUAGCGUAUAUUAAAGUUGUUGCAGUUAAAAAGCUCGUAGUUGAAUUUCGAGACCGGUUUAUUGGUCGUGCUUUUGUACGUACUGGUAUUAUUGGUUUCUCCUUUCUGACGUAUCUUAAUGCCAUUAAUUUGGUGUUUUGGGGAAUCAGGACUGUUACUUUGAAAAAAUUAGAGUGUUUAAAGCAGGCUCACGCUUGAAUACAUUAGCAUGGAAUAACGGAAUAGGACGUUUGAUUCUAUUUUGUUGGUUUCUAGGAUCGCAGUAAUGAUUAAUAGGGAUAGUUGGGGGCAUUAGUAGUCAAUUGUCAGAGGUGAAAUUCUUGGAUUUAUUGAAGACUAACUACUGCGAAAGCAUUUGCCAAGGAUGUUUUCAUUAAUCAAGAACGAAAGUUAGGGGAUCGAAGACGAUCAGAUACCGUCGUAGUCUUAACCAUAAACUAUGCCGACUAGGGAUCGGAUGAUGUUAAUUUUUUAAUGACUCAUUCGGCGCCUUACG
rnacentral:rRNA from 1 species